UCAGAGAACUGUGGCCCAGCAUGAUUUGGACUCGGUCCAUCCUGCUCCAAUGACAAGUCUUAAGACCAAGAUUGCAGGAUCACUUCAGUGAUGUGGAAGCACAAUACAUUCAAAUGCCAGCAAAAAAACAUCCUGGAGACACUGAGAUGCUUGAGUCUCAGUCAUUAGAGCAGUUGAAGACAGCCUUCAGAGAACUCACUGGCCCAGCAUAGUUUGGACUCAGUCCGUCUUGCUCCAAUGACAAGUCUCCAAAGACAUCCUCUCAGCACCAAGAUUGCAGGAUCACCUCAGUGAGGUGGAGGCACAAUACAGCAAUGCCAAGCACAAUGCAGUCAAGUGCCGGUGAAAAGAACAUCCUGGAGACGCUGAGAUGCAGCCUCAGUCAUUAUAGCAGUUGAAGACAGUCCUCAGAGAACUGUGGCUCAGCGUACUUUGGACUCGGUCCGUCCUACUCCUAUGACAAGUCAAGACUGGUUCCUCUCAGCAUCAAGGAUGCAUGAUCACUUCAAUUAGGUGGAAGCACAACACGGCACAAUACAGUCAAGUGCCAGCAAAAAUGACACACUGGAGACACUGAGAUGCAGCCUC